rnacentral:sRNA from 1 species
UUAAAAAUAUUUUAUUGCCCUAAAUCCCCAAAUAUAUUGGGCCCGAUAGCAGAAAUCCCCUUAUUAUUAAAAGUGAAGUACAAAUUGAAAUUUUGUCUAAUUUGACCUCAAUUUUGAUUUCAAUUUUAUAUUUUGUUCUUUGCUAUUCAAAAUCAUUAAGGGUAAUUUGGUCUUAACAAUCUCUUAGACUUUAUAUGAUCCGAUUCAAUGUAAACCAUUCAAUAAAAUUAAUUUCCUUCAAUCUAAGUUAUUAUUUGAUUUAAUUCAAAAAAAAAUCCCAAUUAUUUUUUAGUUAUGUUUAAUUCAAAAAAUUGUAUUUAUAAGUUUAGGAUAUCAAAUUUAUUCAAAUAUUUAGUAUAAGAACCAAAUAAACCGAUUGCCCGCGGUAAACCGCGGCUUAAGUCCUAGUGUAUUUUAUAACAAAGGUACCAAACUAGUAAUUUUAUCUCAUAU